UUGAUGACGAACUACUUCGGCCCACUCGACCAAGAAAACAAACUUAGGAUCCCUUUGAUAAUGAAGGAGGAUUUCCAAUCUGAAUGUUGUUUCUUUAUUCCCUUACUUGUGUCUCAACUCAAUUAGCGAAGUUCCGAUUGAAAAAAUUGGAAGGCAAACUUAAAUGUACCUACCUAACGGUCGAUAUCUUUUCAUUUUACCUUAUAAAUUGGCUUCCACGGGUUCAUGUUUU